UACGGAGGAUGCGAGCGUUAUCCGGAUUUAUUGGGUUUAAAGGGUGCGUAGGCGGGAGAUCAAGUCAGCGGUAAAAAUGCGGGGCCCAACCCCGUCGAGCCGUUGAAACUGGUUUUCUUGAGUGGGCGAGAGGUAUGCGGAAUGCGUGGUGUAGCGGUGAAAUGCAUAGAUAUCACGCAGAACCCCGAUUGCGAAGGCAGCAUACCGGCGCCCAACUGACGCUGAGGCACGAAAGCGUGGGUAUCGAA
rnacentral:rRNA from 1 species